UACGGAGGGUGCAAGCGUUAUUCGGAUUUACUGGGCGUAAAGCGUACGUAGGCGGCGUGGUAAGUCGGGUGUGAAAUCCCACGGCUCAACCGUGGAACUGCACUCGAAACUGCUAUGCUUGAGUACUGGAGGGGGUGGCGGAAUUCCUGGUGUAGGAGUGAAAUCCGUAGAUAUCAGGAGGAACACCAGUGGCGAAGGCGGCCACCUGGACAGUAACUGACGCUGAGGUACGAAAGCGUGGGUAGCAAACAGG
rnacentral:rRNA from 1 species